rnacentral:rRNA from 1 species
AUUGAACGCUGGCGGCAUGCUUUACACAUGCAAGUCGAACGGUAACAGGCCUUCGGGUGCUGGCGAGUGGCGAACGGGUGAGUAAUGCAUCGGAACGUACCCAGAGGUGGGGGAUAACGCAGCGAAAGCUGUGCUAAUACCGCAUGUGAUCUGCGGAUGAAAGCGGGGGACCGCGCAGCAAUGUUUGGCCUCGCGCCUUUGGAGCGGCCGAUGUCGGAUUAGCUAGUUGGUGGGGUAAAGGCCUACCAAGGCGACGAUCCGUAGCUGGUCUGAGAGGUCGACCAGCCACACUGGGACUGAGACCCGGCCCAGACUCCUACGCGAGCUAGCAGUGGGGAAGUCUCGACAACGGGCGCGAGUCUGAUCCUGGAAUGGCGCGUGCGGGAAGAAGGACUUGGGGUUGUAAACAGGUUUUCGAAGGAACGAAACGGUGUCCGCUAAUACCGUGCUAGAAUGACGGUACCUGCAGAAUAAGAACCGGCUAACUACGUU